GAAAUGCGAUAAGUAAUGUGAAUUGCAGAAUUCAGUGAAUGAUCGAAUCUUUGAACGCACAUUGCGCCCGCCAGUAUUCUGGCGGGCAUGCCUGUUCGAGCGUCAUUUCAACCAUCAAGCCCCCGGCUUGUGUUGGGGACCUGCGGCUGCCCGCAGGCCCUGAAAAACAGUGGCGGGCUCGCUGUCACACCGAGCGUAGUAGCAUACAUUCUCGCUCAGGGCGUGCUGCGGGUUCCGGCCGUUAAACGACCUUCAUAACCCAAGGUUGACCUCGGAUCAGGUAGGAAGACCCGCUGAACUUAAGC
rnacentral:misc_RNA from 1 species